AUAGUUUAAUUCUAGCUAGUAAUUUAGUGAUUUCCUAGUUCUAUAUGCUAAUUUUGUAAAAAUAGAAUUAAUGGUAUGAUAUGAAUUUAUAAUGUAUUAUAAUGGCAGUAGAUAAAUUUAUUUAUGUGUGACUACAUGAAAUUGUGGAGGAUAUUUAAUUUGGCCAAUAUUGUGCCAGCCGCAGCGGUUAAACAAUAGAAAUCUAAAUAUAAAAUUUUUAUAAUGAUAAGUUAAAUAAUAAAUGAGGUAAAAUUUUAUAUCAAUGAAUUUACAUUAUCAUAAUAAAGAUCUAAAUUAAAACAAGGAUUAGAUACCCUUUUAUUUUUAUUCAAUAUAUAAAUUGGGGACUACGAGCUUUAGCUUAGAAACCAAAGAAUAUGGCGGUAUUUUACUCAGUCAGGGUGGCAUGUAUCUUAAUUUGAUAGUCCACGUUUUUUAGUCCUAGUCUUGAAGAACAGUGUGUGUACUGCCGUUAUACAUGAUUCUAUAGAAUAAUGUGAGAUAUAUAGCAUUAUAUAAAUAGUCAGGUCCAAGCGCAGCCAAUGAUUAGGUGAGAGUGUGCUACAUUUAUUUAAACAUUCUAAUUAUUUAGUUAAAUCUAAAUAUGAGGCAGAACUUGAUAGUAAUUAAAUUGAUUAAAUUUAAUGAAACAGAUUAGAAAUAUGUACAAAUCGCCCGUCACUCCUUUAUAAAGGAUAAGUCGUAACAUAGUAGAUGUAAUGGAAAUUGUAUCUAU
rnacentral:rRNA from 1 species